GCACCGUUGGUCUAGUUGGUUAUGACGCUCGCCUCACACGCGAGAGGUCUCCGGUUCGAACCCGGAAUGGUGUA
rfam:Ostreococcus tauri, RCC4221, WGS project CAID01000000 data, contig: 11, chromosome: 11